rnacentral:rRNA from 1 species
CAGCAGCCGCGGGAAAACAGAGGGUGCAAGCGUUAAUCGGAAUUACUGGGCGUAAAGCGCGCGUAGGUGGUUUGUUAAGUUGGAUGUGAAAGCCCCGGGCUCAACCUGGGAACUGCAUCCAAAACUGGCAAGCUAGAGUACGGUAGAGGGUGGUGGAAUUUCCUGUGUAGCGGUGAAAUGCGUAGAUAUAGGAAGGAACACCAGUGGCGAAGGCGACCACCUGGACUGAUACUGACACUGAGGUGCGAAAGCGUGGGGAGCAAACAGGAUUAGAUACCCCCGUAGUCCCUGUCUCUUAUAC